CGACAAUGAAUCAAGCACUACAAGUACUUCGUUCACUGUGAGAAGACGUCUCCACGCUACAGAAUCAAGAUAUUUGCUUGAUUUCUCGUCGGCGUCCAGAAUGUUUACCAUGCAUGUCCUUCUUCUGGUCAUCCUCGUCAUUGGGGUUGCCAUUGGAUACCCGAUUGGACACUCAAAGAAGACAUUCCGUCGUGGUACUAACCCCAGAGGCUACGGUAGUUACUGGAUAAACCGCCGUUACUUCUUUUGGGAUGAUGACGACUUUGACUACCCUGAUUUCGACAAAUAAGACUUCGCCGAGUACUUCGGUUAAAGCGUUGAAGAAAUAUUGGAUGACUCCGGUCCCAGGCCAGUAGUACGUCGCUUCGGAUGAUUAUGAGAGGCUUCCAACUCGAUUUUUUGUAUCAAUAUGUACUUUAAAAGUUUUACGUCAAAGUGCCAUUUCGAAAUAAAAGACUUUUCUGCUGCUGUUAAA